rnacentral:misc_RNA from 1 species
AAAGUCGUAACAAGGUCUCCGUAGGUGAACCUGCGGAGGGAUCAUUAACACGUAUUAUACGUAUCAACCAAACGCGAACUUGGAACUUUACUGUUCCGAUUUUCCCUGUUAAUCAUAGCUGUUGUUUAGAGUUCAGUAGUAGGGUAUAAGCUUUCACCAGUUUAUACAACUCUCUGCGACAUGAGGUUCGACCUCAAGGCUAUGAUUGAUAGGCUAUCUAAUUUACCUCUACUAACACAAACCCCUUUCACCCUUUUCGUAAUAAUUGACUGAUUGAAUGAAAGAGAGAAAUCUCUAGUAAUUCGGAUAUUUAUAACUAAAAGCACAACUCUUAGCAAUGGAUAUCUUGGUUCUC